AGCCAACCUCUAGCCCCACCCAACCAAUCAAAAACACACUUUUUUCCAAACAACCAAAACAUUCUCCUCAACCCAGUAUAGGCGAUAGAAAAGAACCCCCCCAGAGCGCGAUAGAGACCAUGUACCGUAAGGGAAAGAUGAAAUAACAGUGAAACCUAAAGCAACAAACAGCAAAGACGAACCCUUGUACCUUUUGCAUCAUGAUUUAGCAAGAACAACCAAGCAAAAUGAACUUAAGCUUGCCCCCCCGAAACCCGAGCGAGCUACUUGCAAGCAGCUACACAUCUGAGCGAACCCAUCUCUGUUGCAAAAGAGUGGGAUGACUUGCUAGUAGAGGUGAAAAGCCUACCGAGCCGAGUGAUAGCUGGUUGCCUGUGAGACGAACCUAAGUUCCCCCUUAGCCCUCCUCCCCAGCUGAACACACAACCUAGCACGAGAAGACUAAGAGUGCUUUAAAGGAGGUACAGCCCCUUUAAAAUAGGACACAACCUCCGCCAGAGGAUAACAACCCAGACACCAUAAACAGUGGGCCUUCAAGCAGCCACCAACAAAGAAUGCGUCAAAGCUCAACACCCCCAAAAAAUCUAACAAACAACACGAUUCCCUCCCCACUAACAGGCUAAUCUAUAGACAUAGAAGAAUUAAUGCUAGAAUGAGUAACUUGGGCCCUCCCCUCUAAAGCGCAAGCUUACAUCACCUCAUUAUUAACAGGCAGCCAUAUAUGCCAAACCCCUAGCAAGAAUGAAGUAUUAACCAACCCUGUUAACCCAACCCAGGAGCGCCUGCUAGAAAGAUUUAAAUCUGUAAAAGGAACUAGGCAAACCCAAGGCCCGACUGUUUACCAAAAACAUAGCCUUCAGCACAUCAAGUAUUGAAGGUGACGCCUGCCCAGUGACACCACGUUUAACGGCCGCGGUAUCCUAACCGUGCAAAGGUAGCGCAAUCAAUUGUCCCAUAAAUCGAGACCUGUAUGAAUGGCCAAACGAGGUCUUAACUGUCUCUUACAGAUAAUCAGUGAAAUUGAUCCCCCUGUGCAAAAGCAGGGAUACACCCAUAAGACGAGAAGACCCUGUGGAACUUGAAAAUCAGCGACCACCCCCCACAACCCCCGCUCCCUCAAGGGACCCCUCACCACACCACAUUGGCCGCCAUUUUUCGGUUGGGGCGACCUUGGAGAAAAACGAAUCCUCCAAAACAAAGACCACACCUCUUAACCAAGAACACCACCUCAACGUGCUAAUAGCAACCAGAUCCAGUAGUAACUGAGCAAUGAACCAAGCUACCCCAGGGAUAACAGCGCAAUCCCCUCCAAGAGCCCCUAUCGACGAGGGGGUUUACGACCUCGAUGUUGGAUCAGGACAUCCUAAUGGUGCAGCCGCUAUUAAGGGUUCGUUUGUUCAACGAUUAACAGUCCUACGUGAUCUGAGUUCAGACCGGAGCAAUCCAGGUCGGUUUCUAUCUAUGAUGAACCCUUCCUAGUACGAAAGGACCGGAAGAGUAGGGCCCAUACCGUACAGUACGCCCUCAAAAAAAUAAUGAAUACAACUCAAUUACCAGCACCCCCCCCUUCACCCUAGACAAGGGCA
rnacentral:rRNA from 1 species